rnacentral:rRNA from 1 species
GAGUUUGAUCCUGGCUCAGGACGAACGCUGGCGGCGCGCUUAACACAUGCAAGUCGAGCGAGAACCUUUCCUUCGGGAUUGGGGACAGCGGCGAACGGGUGAGUAACACGUGGGUAAUCUGCCCUUGACAUCGGGAUAGCCCGGGGAAACCCGGAUUAAUACCGAAUAGCCUCCGGAGCCCUCGGGCGCCGGAGAAAAGGUAGCUUCGGCCUCUGGUCAAGGAUGAGCCCGCGGCGGAUUAGCUUGUUGGCGGGGUAAUGGCCCACCAAGGCGACGAUCCGUAGCUGGUCUGAGAGGGCGAUCAGCCACACUGGGACUGAGACACGGCCCAGACUCCUACGGGAGGCAGCAGUGGGGAAUCUUGCGCAAAUGCGGGAAACCGUGACGCAGCGACGCCGCGUGGGGGAAGAA